AGUGAACGCUGGCGGUAGGCCUAACACAUGCAAGUCGAACGGCAGCACAGUAAGAGCUUGCUCUUACGGGUGGCGAGUGGCGGACGGGUGAGGAAUACAUCGGAAUCUACUUUUUCGUGGGGGAUAACGUAGGGAAACUUACGCUAAUACCGCAUACGACCUACGGGUGAAAGCAGGGGAUCUACGGACCUUGCGCGAUUGAAUGAGCCGAUGUCGGAUUAGCUAGUUGGCGGGGUAAAGGCCCACCAAGGCGACGAUCCGUAGCUGGUCUGAGAGGAUGAUCAGCCACACUGGAACUGAGACACGGUCCAGACUCCUACGGGAGGCAGCAGUAGGGAAUAUUGGGCAAUGGGCGAAAGCCUGAUCCAGCAAUACCGCGUGAGUGAAGAAGGCCUUCGGGUUGUAAAGCCCUUUUGUUGGGAAAGAAAAACAGCAGGUUAAUACCCCGCUGUUCUGACGGUACCCAAAGAAUAAGCACCGGCUAACUUCGUG
rnacentral:rRNA from 1 species